rnacentral:tRNA from 3 species
GGGCCCGUAGCUCAGCGGUAGAGCAACCGACUCUUAAUCGGUUGGCCGAAGGUUCGAAUCCUUCCGGGCUCA